AAGAAUAUGGAGCACGUACUCAAGGAGGAAAAAACAUUUUUUUCAGAGGCCCAAAGUGAUAUGCAAUUUGGUCUAGAUGCCGAUAUUUAUAUGGCCAAAAAAGAUGUCAGGAAAUCCCGUUUCAUUCAAGGAUGGCUCAUCUCCCAGUAUGUAUACUGCAUUUGGCUAGGCUGCUGUGAAUUCCCUGUAGCCACUGACAUUUGGAGAGGCACUGAUGCACACCGAUCAGAACACAUCAUUUGGGCUGAAGCUCACACGGGCAGAUGGGAAAAUGACAGCAUGAGGCAAACCAAGGGGAAGAAUGGGUUUCCUGUCAACAGAAUAUUCCUGAUCUAUGAUGAUAGUGCAGGAAUGGUUGUCUAAAAUCAGGGCCCCUGGAGAGGAAGUCUCACAGAACAAAAUCUACAGAGGAAUCUUGUUCAUCUAAAGCAACGCUAGAGUAAGAGGACAAAAUAUUAACAAGUCAAAUGUCAAAAUGUUCCAAAACACUUAAAAAGAAUGGUUCCAGAAGGCUCUUUUUUUUUUUUUUAUAACAGCGAAUGCCAUAGAAGAACCAUUUUUGGUUCCCCAAAGAACCUUUCAGUGAAGAAUUCGUAAAUUAAUUUUUUUCAGAAUUAUUAUUUUUUUCUUUGUGUGAAGAACAUUUUAAUAAUCUAAAGCAGUGGUUCUCAACUGGUUUGGCCAUGGGACCCACAUUUUACCAUGGUCAUCAAGCAGCGACCCACUUUAUUAGGAUAUAUAUAUAUAUAUAUAUAUAUAUAUAUAUAUAUAUAUAUAUAUAUAUAUAUAUAUAUAUAAUAUUAUUAUUAUUAUUAUUAUUAUUAUUAUUAUUAUUUGUUGUUGUUGUUGUUUUAAAAAACACAAAGCAAAUUUAUUUUUACAAAAAAUUGUUGAUGCACACACACAAGCACCGUCCCCUGUUUCUUAAAACAUAAAUUGUAAGAAUAUCACAAAUACUGAUUAAUAAACAGCCUAUAAAUUAAGGCUAGUCCCAGUUUGUUAAUACAAUUAGGUUGGUAUGAGCCACCACAGUCAUUUAAACAUGUACAAAAAUAACACAAAGUGAAAUAACAUGGCAUUUUGGGUUAUGGAAACAACAUUUAUCAUGGUGAAUAAUAAUAACAUGAACUGUUAAUGAAACAUGGAAACUGCUCCUGAAUAGAAUGAGAAUUAUACCUUCACGCAAAUCCUUCGG
ensembl:lncRNA